ACGGGACGAGUUUGGCGGAACGGG
rnacentral:siRNA from 1 species